AAAUGAAGCUGCAUGUUGUAUCUGGAGAGUUUAUUCAGACUGAAUAAACCAGCAUUUGCUACCUAUAGGAUGAAGAUGGUUAACCACUAUGGGUGAAAAAGGUAUGAUGAAAAAUUGCCAUGAGGUAUAUACAUCAAUGAUUAUUUUUCAGUUAUGAACCUUAGUAGCAUGUGGGUUUUACAGGGGCACUGAAGACCAGUUGAUGAAGAAACAGCAAAUUAAUGUUUCUGCAAAAUAACUGCAUUUUUAUAACAGCAUCUCAAGAGGCUUUUUGAAAUAUUUAGUCCCAUCAUGAAUACAACAUAAAACCUCACUUGCAACAAAUCAGUCUGAAAACAAGAAUUUCUGCAGUGAAGAUCAAGUGGUUUGAAAAGUUUUGCAAAUUACUCAGUGACAAAAAAAGUGCUACGCAAAAGUUAAUACACUCAGUAAAAUAGAAUUAUCAAACAGACCAAUACAACCUCAGUUCCGAUGUGACAGAACCACACUGACUAUAGACCGGUUAAAUGAGGCACAGUGAUUCGGUUCAGUUCCCUUUCCUGAGUGUGCUGCACAGCGGUGGAAUCCCUGGUAGCAAACUGACAAAGCAGAACUAUGAGGAGAUUAUUUGGGAGGAGCUAUUACCAAAGGUCUUCUCAGCCCACAGCCCAGGAGAGUCUGAGACGUUGUCCCUGAGCAACCUACUGUCACUUUGAAGUUGGCCCUGAGUGAACUCUGGAAGCUUCCUCCAAUCUAAAUUAUUUUAUGAUUCUGCAUUGAUCUGUUAGCACACUAGAUUACCUGCUGCAAUCAAAUAACAUUUCUCUGCACUCCAAGACAGGGACCCAAUAGCUCGUUAGCCUAGCAUUCCUCUGAAGUAUCUUAUCCCAGCUCAUUCCUGGACGUCCGCUGGGUAGGUCUGAAACACACCAGUCCUGGGUGCAGGGUAUGUUCCCUGAGAUCACAAGUAGUCCGCUUCAUAAAUGUGAAUCCCAGCAGGGAUUCUUAAUGUAACCUUACUGUAUACACUUGCUGCAAUCUGCACUAGUUUAAACAUAUGGUGAGAAACAAGUUAUAAACAUUUCUUAAAAGCAAUAUAAAACGGGUAAGAAAUUUUAAUGUAGCUAAGUGCUGAGUCAGCUGUCAAACAGGCAAGGAGCAAGUGCCGCAGGAAUGCAAAAACAUCAAUACCUCGCAAAGCUUAAAGGUUUAUGAAAUAUGGGUCUGUUUUGUAUUUUAAGGAGGCUGCAUCGUGGUAACCCUUUGCUUUGACGGACCCAGAUCUGAAUCGCUAUCUCCAUCCUGUGCCCCAGUGAGGCACAGCAAAUUUCAGAAUUCUUCAUCUCCCAUCACUCCUCUGCGCCCUUGCCUAAAUUCAGACCAUCUCUGCUCCUCUCCUGGAGAUCUGAUACUGCCUUGUACAGUUUCUAUUUCUCCA
rnacentral:lncRNA from 1 species